rnacentral:lncRNA from 1 species
CUUUUGGUGUGAAGUCCUGUCCUGCGGAGCUCCUGCGACACCUCAGUCGCCUUCCUGCUGUGCAUAAUGGCCUUAUGGUAGCUGUCAUACCGUUUAUUCCAUUCGAAUCUUUGUCAAUCCAAUCCAAUCGACUCGAGUCACACUUCACGGCUGCUGGACAGGGCACAAAAUGCACACACACUGAGAGGACAACACAACAAUGAACAAAGUGCCCCGUCUUGAUUGAC